CUGCACAAGUGAUGAUGACAGAUGGCAUAUGAGCCAUAUGCAAUGAAUAGUAUGUGUCUGGAACUUUGAGACCUAA
rnacentral:snoRNA from 1 species